AGAGACAGCAGCCGCCGCGGGAAUACAGAGGGUGCGAGCGUUAAUCGGAUUUACUGGGCGUAAAGCGUGCGUAGGCGGCUUUUUAAGUCGGAUGUGAAAUCCCUGAGCUUAACUUAGGAAUUGCAUUCGAUACUGGGAAGCUAGAGUAUGGGAGAGGAUGGUAGAAUUCCAGGUGUAGCGGUGAAAUGCGUAGAGAUCUGGAGGAAUACCGAUGGCGAAGGCAGCCAUCUGGCCUAAUACUGACGCUGAGGUACGAAAGCAUGGGGAGCAAACAGGAUUAGAUACCCGCGUAGUCCCUGUCUCUUAUAC
rnacentral:rRNA from 1 species